GAUGAACGCUGGCGGCGUGCCUAAUACAUGCAAGUCGAGCGAACAGACGAGGAGCUUGCUCCUCUGACGUUAGCGGCGGACGGGUGAGUAACACGUGGAUAACCUACCUAUAAGACUGGGAUAACUUCGGGAAACCGGAGCUAAUACCGGAUAAUAUAUUGAACCGCAUGGUUCAAUAGUGAAAGACGGUUUUGCUGUCACUUAUAGAUGGAUCCGCGCCGCAUUAGCUAGUUGGUAAGGUAACGGCUUACCAAGGCAACGAUGCGUAGCCGACCUGAGAGGGUGAUCGGCCAAACGGGAACUGAGACACGGUCCAGACUCCUACGGGAGGCAGCAGUAGGGAAUCUUCCGCAAUGGGCGAAAGCCUGACGGAGCAACGCCGCGUGAGUGAUGAAGGUCUUCGGAUCGUAAAACUCUGUUAUUAGGGAAGAACAAAUGUGUAAGUAACUAUGCACGUCUUGACGGUACCUAAUCAGAAAGCCACGGCGAACUACGU
rnacentral:rRNA from 1 species